rfam:Brassica rapa chromosome A9, whole genome shotgun sequence.
GUGGACGUGCCUGAGUGGUUAUCGGGCAUGACUAGAAAUCAUGUUGGCUUUGCCCGUACAGGUUCGAAUCCUGCUGUUCACG